rnacentral:rRNA from 1 species
UACGUAGGGAGCGAGCGUUGUCCGGAUUUAUUGGGCGUAAAGGGCGUGUAGGCGGCUUGUUAAGUCUGGAGUGAAAAUCCGGGGCUCAACCCCGGAACUGCUUCGGAUACUGGCGAGCUUGAGUGCUCUAGAGGGCAGUGGAAUUCCCGGUGUAGCAGUGAAAUGCGUAGAGAUCGGGAGGAACACCAGUGGCGAAGGCGACUGCCUGGGGAGUAACUGACGCUGAGGCGCGAAAGCUGGGGGAGCAAACGGG